rnacentral:rRNA from 1 species
AACGAACGCUGGCGGCAUGCCUAACACAUGCAAGUCGAACGAGACCUUCGGGUCUUGUGGCGCACAGGUGCGUAACGCGUGGGAAGCUGCCUAUAGGGUCGGAAUAACUCAUAGAAAUUUGAGCUAAUACCGGAUGAUGUCUUCUGACCAAAGAUUUAUCGCCUUUGGAUGGGCCCGCGUUGGAUUAGCUAGUUGGUGGGGUAAAGGCCUACCAAGGCGACGAUCCAUAGCUGGUCUGGGAGGAUGAUCAGCCACACUGGGACUGAGACACGGCCCAGACUCCUACGGGAGGAAGGAGUGGGGGAUAGUGGAAAAGGGGCGGAGGGAUGAACCAGCAAUGCCGGGUGAGUGAUGAAGGCCGUAGGGUUGUAAAGCUCUUUUACCCGAGAUGAUAAUGACAGUAUCGGGAGAAUAAGCUCCGGCUAACUCCGUG